GCAGUGAGGAAUAUUGGACAAUGGUCGAAAGACUGAUCCAGCCAUGCCGCGUGCAGGAUGACUGCCCUAUGGGUUGUAAACUGCUUUUAUACGGGAAGAAAAACACCUACGUGUAGGUGACUGACGGUACCGUAAGAAUAAGGACCGGCUAACUCCGUGCCAGCAGCCGCGGUAAUACGGAGGGUCCAAGCGUUAUCCGGAAUCAUUGGGUUUAAAGGGUCCGUAGGCGGGCUAUUAAGUCAGAGGUGAAAGUUUGCAGCUCAACUGUAAAAUUGCCUUUGAUACUGAUAGUCUUGAAUUGUAGUGAAGUGGUUAGAAUAUGUGGUGUAGCGGUGAAAUGCAUAGAUAUCACAUAGAAUACCGAUUGCGAAGGCAGAUCACUAACUAUAUAUUGACGCUGAGGGACGAAAGCGUGGGGAGCGAACGGGAUUAGAUACCCCGGUAGUCCACGCCGUAAACGAUGGAUACUAGCUGUUGGAUUUUUUCAGUGGCUAAGCGAAAGUGAUAAGUAUCCCACCUGGGGAGUACGUUCGCAAGAAUGAAACUCAAAGGAAUUGACGG
rnacentral:rRNA from 1 species